rnacentral:rRNA from 1 species
UGGGGGAUAUUGCACAAUGGGCGAAAGCCUGAUGCAGCGACGCCGCGUGGGGGAUGAAGGCCUUCGGGUUGUAAACUUCUUUUGCUCUGAACAAGGCGCACCAUGGGGUGUGUUGAGUGUAGGGGUUGAUUAGCGCCGGCUAACUACGUGCCAGCAGCCGCGGUAAUACGUAGGGGGCGAGCGUUGUCCGGAAUUAUUGGGCGUAAAGGGCUUGUAGGUGGCUGGUUGCGUCUGUCGUGAAAGCUAAUGGCUUAACUGUGGGUUUGCGGUGGGUACGGGCUGGCUUGAGUGCAGUAGGGGAGGCUGGAAUUCCUGGUGUAGCGGUGGAAUGCGCAGAUAUCAGGAGGAAUACCGGUGGCGAAGGCGGGUCUCUGGGCUGUUACUGACACUGAGGAGCGAAAGCAUGGGGAGCGAACAGG